GAUGGAGCAGUCUGGUAGCUCGUCGGGCCCAUAACCCGAAGGUCGUAGGUUCAAAUCCUGCUCCCGCAA
rnacentral:tRNA from 1 species